UCCGACCCCCCGCAUGGCGAUACCGUGCUGAACUCCCCCAGGGCUGGAAGGCAGCAAGGGUAGGUGCGCUCUUUCGGGUGUGCGGGGGGUCCUCACA
rnacentral:SRP_RNA from 1 species